GGCUCAACCUGGGAACUGCAUUCGAAACUGGCAGGCUAGAGUCUUGUAGAGGGGGGUAGAAUUCCAGGUGUAGCGGUGAAAUGCGUAGAGAUCUGGAGGAAUACCGGUGGCGAAGGCGGCCCCCUGGACAAAGACUGACGCUCAGGUGCGAAAGCGUGGGGAGCAAACAGGAUUAGAUACCCUGGUAGUCCACGCCGUAAACGAUGUCGACUUGGAGGUUGUGCCCUUGAGGCGUGGCUUCCGGAGCUAACGCGUUAAGUCGACCGCCUGGGGAGUACGGCCGCAAGGUUAAAACUCAAAUGAAUUGACGGGGGCCCGCACAAGCGGUGGAGCAUGUGGUUUAAUUCGAUGCAACGCGAAGAACCUUACCUACUCUUGACAUCCAGAGAACUUUCCAGAGAUGGAUUGGUGCCUUCGGGAACUCUGAGACAGGUGCUGCAUGGCUGUCGUCAGCUCGUGUUGUGAAAUGUUGGGUUAAGUCCCGCAACGAGCGCAACCCUUAUCCUUUGUUGCCAGCGGUUAGGCCGGGAACUCAAAGGAGACUGCCAGUGAUAAACUGGAGGAAGGUGGGGAUGACGUCAAGUCAUCAUGGCCCUUACGAGUAGGGCUACACACGUGCUACAAUGGCGCAUACAAAGAGAAGCGACCUCGCGAGAGCAAGCGGACCUCAUAAAGUGCGUCGUAGUCCGGAUUGGAGUCUGCAACUCGACUCCAUGAAGUCGGAAUCGCUAGUAAUCGUAGAUCAGAAUGCUACGGUGAAUACGUUCCCGGGCCUUGUACACACCGCCCGUCACACCAUGGGAGUGGGUUGCAAAAGAAGUAGGUAGCUUAACCUUCGGGAGGGCGCUUACCACUUUGUGAUUCAUGACUGGGGUGAAGUCGUAACAAGGUAACCGUAGGGGAACCUGCGGUUGGAUCACCUCCUU
rnacentral:rRNA from 1 species